UACCUCCUACGGGGGGCAGCAGUAGGGAAUUUUCGUCAAUGGGCGCAAGCCUGAACGAGCAAUGCCGCGUGAACGAGGAAGGUCUUCGGAUCGUAAAGUUCUGUUGAAGGGGAAAAAGAGCGGAGAGAGGAAAUGCUUUCUGAUUGAUAUUACCCUUCGAGGAAGUCACGGCUAACUACGUGCCAGCAGCCGCGGUAAUACGUAGGUGGCGAGCGUUAUCCGGAAUUAUUGGGUGUAAAGGGUGCGUAGACGGGAAAUUAAGUUAGUUGUGAAAUCCCUUGGCUUAACUGAGGAACUGCAACUAA
rnacentral:rRNA from 1 species